rnacentral:rRNA from 1 species
CUACGGGAGGCAGCAGUGAGGAAUAUUGCACAAUGGGGGGAACCCUGAUGCAGCAACGCCGCGUGGAGGAUGACGCAUUUCGGUGUGUAAACUCCUUUUAUAUGUCAAGAAAAUGACGGUAGCAUAUGAAUAAGCACCGGCUAACUCCGUGCCAGCAGCCGCGGUAAUACGGAGGGUGCAAGCGUUACUCGGAAUCACUGGGCGUAAAGGACGCGUAGGCGGGUUGGAAAGUCAGGUGUGAAAUCCUACAGCUUAACUGUAGAACUGUACUUGAAACUUCUAAUCUAGAGUAUGGGAGGGGGAGAUGGAAUUAGUGGUGUAGGAGUAAAAUCCGUAGAUAUCACUAGGAAUACCUAAAGCGAAGGCGAUCUCCUGGAACAUUACUGACGCUAAGGCGUGAAAGCGUGGGGAGCAAACAGGAUUAGAUACCCCAGUAGUC